rnacentral:rRNA from 1 species
UACGUAGGGGGCAAGCGUUGUCCGGAAUCAUUGGGCGUAAAGAGCGUGUAGGCGGCCCGGUAAGUCCGCUGUGAAAGUCCAGGGCUCAACCCUGGGAUGCCGGUGGAUACUGUCGGGCUCGAGUCCGGAAGAGGAGUGUGGAAUUCCCGGUGUAGCGGUGAAAUGCGCAGAUAUCGGGAGGAACACCAGUGGCGAAGGCGGCACUCUGGGCCGGUACUGACGCUGAGGAGCGAAAGCGUGGGGAGCGAACAGG